CUAGGCACACAGCUCAAUAACACGUGGCCAACCUGCCCUUGGGACGGAAACACCCCCGGGAAACUGGGGCUAAUUUCCGAUAGGUGAAGACUCCUGGAAUGGAUUUUCGCUCAAAGGGCGCCUGGGGCAUGCUCCUAGGCGUUGCCCAAGGAUGGGGCCGCGGCCGAUCAGGUUGUUGGUGAGGUAAUGGCCCACCAAGCCUUUAACCGGUACGGGCCGUGGGAGCGGUAGCCCGGAGAUGGGCACUGAGACAAGGGCCCAGGUCCUACGGGGCGCAGCAGUCGCGAAAACUUCGCAAUAAGCGAAAGCUUGACGGGGCCAUCCCGAGUGCCAUCUGCUGAGGAUGGCUUUUACCCAGUAUAGAUAGCUGGGGGAAUAAGGAGAGGGCAAGUCUGGUGUCAGCCGCCGCGGUAAUACCAGCUCUCCGAGUUGUAGGGAUGUUUAUUGGGCCUGAAGCAUCCGUAGCCGGCUGGACAAGUCCUCUGUUAAAUCCAGCGACCAAUCGUUGGUCUGCGGGGGAUACUGUCCGGCUAGGGGGCGGGAGAGGCCGUCGGUAUUCUUGGGGUAGGGGUGAAAUCCUAUAAUCCCAGGAGGACCACCAGUGGCGAAGGCUGUCGGCUAGAACGCGCCCGACGGUGAGGGAUGAAAGCUGGGGGAGCGAACCGGAUUAGAUACCCGGGUAGUCCCAGCUGUAAACGAUGCAGGCUAGGUGUUAGGGCGGCUACGUGCCGCUCUAGUGCCGCAGGGAAGCUGUUAAGCCUGCCGCCUGGGGAGUACAGCCGCAAGGCCGAACUUAAAGACCA
rnacentral:rRNA from 1 species